GCACUGUGUCCCCUACCCCUGUCACUGUGAUUUCAGGCACACUGGCCUCUCCCCUGCAUGCCUCCCCGCCCCAUUCCUCCGUCUGCAAAAUUCUUUGCACCCUUGAAGACCCCACUCACUCUCUGCUUCCUCUGUGGGGACUUCUCUUCUCCUUACACCCAGUUGACGCCUGCCUUCUUGAAUCAUCCCCGACCCUCACACAGAUUCCUAUUACACCACUCAGACACUGGCUGGAUUAUCACACAUCUUGGAGGACAGGAUUUAUGUCUCAUCUCAGUGCCCAGUGAUGUGCUUGGCACCUAAUAGGUUGGUGUAUGUCAUCCCAUUUUGCAGAGGAGAAAUUGAUGAAAGCUACCUGGCUAGUCACUGCAGAGGCUUGGCUGGGAUGCUAAGACCCACUGCCUUGGUUACCAGGCUGCAGCCUGCAGGUUGCCCAUCCAAUGUGCGAACUCCAGCGGGGGCAGGAAAGCCCCCGAAGAAUGGUGAAGCUGAGGUUACAACAAAGAAAAGAGAGCACCUGCCUAUCUCCG
rnacentral:lncRNA from 1 species